rnacentral:rRNA from 1 species
GAUGAACGCUGGCGGCGUGCCUAAUACAUGCAAGUCGAGCGAACAGACGAUGAGCUUGCUCCUCUGACGUUAGCGGCGGACGGGUGAGUAACACGUGGAUAACCUACCUAUAAGACUGGGAUAACUUCGGGAAACCGGAGCUAAUACCGGAUAAUAUAUUGAACCGCAUGGUUCAAUAGUGAAAGACGGUUUUGCUGUCACUUAUAGAUGUAUCCGCGCCGCAUUAGCUAGUUGGUAAGGUAACGGCUUACCAAGGCAACGAUGCGUAGCCGACCUGAGAGGGUGGUCGGCCACACUGGAACUGAGACACGAUCCAGACUCCUACGGGAGGCAGCAGUAGGGGAUCUUCCGCAAUGGGCGAAAGCCUGACGGAGCAACGCGGCGUGAGUGAUGAAGGUCUUCGGAUCGUAAAACUCUGUUAUUAGGGAAGAACAAAUGUGUAAGUAACUAUGCACGUCUUGACGGUACCUGAUCAGAAAGCCACGGCUAACUACGUG